GACGAACGCUGGCGGCGUGCUUAACACAUGCAAGUCGAACGAUGAAGCUGGAGCUUGCUCUGGUGAAUUAGUGGCGAACGGGUGAGUAACACGUGAGUAACCUGCCCUUGACUCUGGGAUAACUGCGGGAAACUGUAGCUAAUACCGGAUACGACCCUCGGAGGCAUCUCCUGGGGGUGGAAAGAAUUUCGGUCAAGGAUGGACUCGCGGCCUAUCAGCUAGUUGGUGAGGUAAAGGCUCACCAAGGCGACGACGGGGAGCCGGCCUGAGAGGGUGACCGGCCACACUGGGACUGGGACACGGCCCAGACUCCUACGGGAGGCAGCAGUGGGGAAUAUUGCACAAUGGGCGCAAGCCUGAUACAGCAACGCCGCGUGAGGGAUGACGGCCUUCGGGUUGUAAACCUCUUUUAGCAGGGAAGAAGCGAAAGUGACGGUACCUGCAGAAAAAGCACCGGCUAACUACGUGCCAGCAGCCGCCGUAA
rnacentral:rRNA from 1 species